CCUACGGGAGGCAGCAGUAGGGAAUCUUCCGCAAUGGACGAAAGUCUGACGGAGCAACGCCGCGUGAACGAUGAAGGCCUUCGGGUCGUAAAGUUCUGUUGUUAGGGAAGAACAAGUGUUAGUUGAAUAAGCUGGCACCUUGACGGUACCUAACCAGAAAGCCACGGCUAACUACGUGCCAGCAGCCGCGGUAAUACGUAGGUGGCAAGCGUUGUCCGGAAUUAUUGGGCGUAAAGCGCGCGCAGGCGGUUUCUUAAGUCUGAUGUGAAAGCCCCCGGCUCAACCGGGGAGGGUCAUUGGAAACUGGGAAACUUGAGUGCAGAAGAGGAAAGUGGAAUUCCAAGUGUAGCGGUGAAAUGCGUAGAGAUUUGGAGGAACACCAGUGGCGAAGGCGACUUUCUGGUCUGUAACUGACGCUGAGGCGCGAAAGCGUGGGGAGCAAACAGGAUUAGAUACCCUGGUAGUCCACGCUGUAAACGAUGAGUGCUAAGUGUUAGAGGGUUUCCGCCCUUUAGUGCUGAAGUUAACGCAUUAAGCACUCCGCCUGGGGAGUACGGUCGCAAGACUGAAACUUAAAUGAAUUGACGG
rnacentral:rRNA from 1 species